GUACCUACGGGGGGCAGCAGUGGGGAAUAUUGCACAAUGGGGGAAACCCUGAUGCAGCGACGCCGCGUGAGCGAUGAAGUAUCUCGGUAUGUAAAGCUCUAUCAGCAGGGAAGAAAGUGACAGUACCUGACUAAGAAGCCCCGGCUAACUACGUGCCGGCAGCCGCGGUAAUACGUAGGGGGCAAGCGUUAUCCGGAUUCACUGGGCGUAAAGGGCGUGUAGCCGGGAAGGCAAGUCAGAUGUGAAAUCCGGAGGCUCAACCUCCGAAUUGCAUUUGAAACUGUUUUUCUUGAGUACUGGAGAGG
rnacentral:rRNA from 1 species